UUUAAAGAGGAUUCCUGUUUUGCCCUCCCUGAACAUUUAUUUCUCUGCUGUCACUUUCAGAGCCUCCUGAGAGCCUGCUUUGGCACGUCCAACAUUUGGCCUCUACUCAGGAGAAAGAAGCAACUAACAAAACACAGUGAUAACAAGGAUUAUUCAGUAUGCAGUUUGCAGGAUGUCCAUGGCAUCAUUGAAAAUGAAUUCCUUAUUUUCACCAGAUAUUCUUGUAUGAGAAGAUCCAUUUCAAACAGUCUAAAUAUUUUUUCUUCUGUUGGACCAGCAUGGCAGGAUUCAAGCGAGGGUAUGAUGGAAAGAUUGCUGGAUUAUAUGACCUGGAUAAAACCUUGGGUCGAGGUCAUUUUGCCGUGGUUAAACUUGCCAGGCAUGUUUUUACAGGUGAAAAAGUGGCAGUAAAAGUUAUUGACAAGACAAAACUGGACACUCUAGCCACUGGUCAUCUUUUCCAGGAAGUGAGAUGUAUGAAACUAGUACAGCAUCCUAACAUUGUACGCCUUUAUGAAGUUAUUGACACCCAGACCAAACUGUAUCUUAUUCUAGAACUUGGGGAUGGAGGAGAUAUGUUUGACUACAUAAUGAAACAUGAAGAGGGUCUUAAUGAAGACUUGGCCAAGAAAUACUUUGCUCAGAUAGUUCAUGCUAUAUCUUAUUGCCAUAAACUCCAUGUGGUUCACAGAGACUUAAAACCUGAGAAUGUAGUCUUCUUUGAAAAACAAGGUCUUGUAAAGUUGACAGACUUUGGUUUCAGCAACAAAUUUCAACCAGGGAAGAAGCUCACUACAAGCUGUGGAUCUCUUGCAUAUUCUGCUCCAGAAAUUCUGCUUGGUGAUGAGUAUGAUGCACCUGCAGUAGAUAUAUGGAGUCUGGGAGUGAUCCUUUUCAUGUUGGUGUGUGGGCAACCACCCUUUCAAGAGGCCAAUGACAGUGAAACAUUGACAAUGAUCAUGGAUUGCAAAUAUACAGUACCAUCCCAUGUGUCUAAAGAUUGUAAAGACCUGAUCACACGGAUGCUGCGGAGAGAUCCCAAAAGAAGGGCCUCUUUAGAAGAGAUUGAAAACCAUGCUUGGCUUCAGGGAGUGGACCCUUCACCAGCCACAAAGUAUAACAUCCCCCUUGUGUCACACAAAAAUCUCUUGGAAGAGGAGCACAACAGCAUCAUUCAGCGCAUGGUGCUUGGGGACAUCGCUGAUCGAGACGCCAUCGUAGAAGCUCUGGAAACCAACAGGUAUAAUCACAUCACAGCCACUUACUUCUUACUUGCUGAAAGGAUCCUGAGAGAAAAGCAAGAGAAAGAAAUACAAACCAGAUCUGCAAGCCCUAGCAAUAUUAAGGCGCAGUUUAGGCAGUCAUGGCCAACCAAAAUUGAUGUACCCCAGGACCUUGAGGAUGACCUCACAGCUACUCCUUUGUCCCAUGCGACUGUCCCUCAGUCUCCUGCUCGGGCUGCCGACAGUGUCCUCAAUGGCCACAGGAGCAAAGGCCUGUGUGACUCGGCUAAGAAAGACGACCUCCCCGAGUUGGCUGGACCAGCACUCUCUACAGUGCCACCUGCAAGCUUAAAACCCACAGCCAGUGGGCGGAAGUGUCUGUUUAGGGUGGAAGAAGAUGAGGAGGAGGAUGAGGAGGAUAAGAAGCCCAUGUCCCUCUCAACACAGGUGGUUUUGCGCCGGAAGCCAUCUGUGACCAACCGCCUGACGUCCCGAAAGAGUGCUCCUGUCCUCAACCAGAUCUUUGAGGAAGGGGAAUCUGAUGAUGAGUUUGACAUGGAUGAGAAUCUGCCUCCCAAGCUGAGCAGGUUAAAGAUGAACAUCGCUUCCCCAGGCACAGUUCACAAGCGCUACCACCGGAGGAAAAGUCAGGGCCGGGGCUCCAGCUGCAGUAGUUCAGAGACCAGUGAUGACGAUUCUGAAAGCCGGCGGCGGCUUGAUAAAGACAGCGGCUUCACCUACUCCUGGCACCGCCGGGAUAGCAGCGAGGGGCCCCCUGGUAGUGAAGGGGAUGGUGGAGGCCAGAGCAAGCCGAGCAACAGUAGUGGAGGGGCGGACAAGGCCAGCCCCAGCGAGAACAAUGCCGGCGGGGGCAGCCCCUCCAGCGGCUCGGGCGGCAACCCCACCAACACAUCUGGCACCACGCGCCGCUGCGCCGGCCCUGGCAACUCCAUGCAGCUGGCCUCUCGCAGCGCUGGGGAGCUUGUUGAGAGCCUCAAACUUAUGAGCCUCUGCCUUGGCUCCCAGCUUCAUGGGAGCACCAAGUACAUUAUUGAUCCACAGAAUGGCUUGUCGUUUUCCAGUGUGAAAGUCCAAGAGAAAUCCACUUGGAAGAUGUGCAUCAGCUCCGCGGGGAAUGCAGGGCAGGCCCCUGCAGUGGGCAGCAUAAAGUUUUUCUCUGACCACAUGGCAGAUACCACCACUGAAUUGGAACGGAUAAAGAGCAAGAACCUGAAAAAUAACGUGCUACAGCUACCUCUGUGUGAAAAGACCAUCUCUGUGAACAUCCAGCGGAACCCUAAGGAGGGGCUGCUGUGCGCCUCCAGCCAGGCCAGCUGCUGCCACGUCAUUUGACUACGUGCCAGCCUGGCCGCUGGCACUUGUCCUGCUCAGAGCGGUGAAGACUGGCUCGCCUCACUGUUCCCUUUUUGGUUUUACUAUUUUAAAGUGGGUGUUAGGAGCAAUUAUUUAUUACCUUUUUAUUUGUUCGCCUGACGAUGUGACAAUGCAUGGUCUUUGUGCAUGCUGCUAGACACUACUUUUCUUUUCCAGCUGAAAAGUCUGUUGUGUAAUUUUUACAUUUAUAAUUUUAAUGUGGAUGAUCAGGAUUAAAUUAAAAUGUAUAUUUGGAACCUAGUUAUAAAUGGAGCACUUAGAAAUUUGAUGUUCUGCACUUAACCUAGAGAGAGAAAAAAUGUUUUUGUUUCUUUGUGAAAAAUCUAAAUUCCUGUCCUGACCUUCUGUGAUACGGAAGCUCCGUACUCUGAGGCACACUCUGUGGUGUCCGAGACAGAACCAAAGCAAUAAUGCUGUGAUGCCAACAGGCUGGGGUGAGCGAGCAUGUGCCGCCCGGCUGGCCAGGACUGUGCAGAGCAGAGGACAGUGAGCGUCUGCACUGAGAACCUUCAAACUAUGAUUUAAACAUACCCACACCUGUUUGUCUUAAACUAUAGUGUGAAAAAAGUUUGGGCUCUUAAAAUUUAACUGAAAAAAAUUUUCUUGUUUUUGUAAUAGAUGAGCUAAAGUACUUAGAUUUAUAAGGCAGCUUCCCCUGUAGUGAUAAAUUACAAGCAGACAAUCUUACUUUGUAAUGUGAUGAAGUGAAUUGAUGAUGUCUUAACUCUACUUUUAGAGUGUACAUCUGUCUAACAGAACAAAAAGAUGCUCUGUAAAUUCCUUCCUGUAGGGCGCACCGCUGGAUUUCCUUUAAAACCACAUGGGUAGAAGAAACCAUAGGGCCUAGUACAAAAGCAGAGGUGCACACAGAUGUUUGCAAAGUCAAACCCAUGAAUGAAAACAAAACCAGACUUAGUGGAUUUGUUUCUCAGGAGUUUGCUAAUUAGGUUGUUCUUUUAUCAUUUCCAUUUUUUUACGUCCUUUGGCUCAAGCUAGCUAUGGAAAUUGGCUGAUCAAAAAAUGCAUAUGAGAAGGUAAAAUUCACACAUACAGCAAACAAAAAUGCACAAAGCCUGCUUUGUAACUUUUUAUUCUGGAAGUAUUUUUCACUUUGCCUUCCUGCCAAAAGAAUAAUCAAAGAACUCUUGCUUUGACCUGUUCCUGUAUAAAGACUACCAGAUAAUGAUCUCUUGUGGCAUUUUGUCUUUUAGAACACAGUAUAUUGAAGAUUGCUAAUUUUGGUAGGGGCCAGAUGCUGUUUUUUCAUGCUGUGCCCUGAGGGUCUUAAAAGCAAUGCAUGGUGACUUGGUGAUAGAAUGUGGCUAGGACCCAGGGCCACUCCCACACCCCCUUCAGCCUCCUAUCAUGUCUCUGAAGUGACCAACUGAGAUGCAUCUGGUCACAUAACUCGGAGAGUGGGCAGAGCACCAAAGAACUGCAUUGUGUUGGUCACUUUCUUCAAGUACACACUGACUCUGCUACUUUAGGAUUAAUAUAGUUCACUCAGAACUCUGAAUUUCACAGUAUACUUACUAAACUAAGUAAAAAUGAUACUUAAAAUACUUUACUUUCUAGACCUAUGCUAGAUAUGUUUUAAGCUACAGCUCUAGUUCAUUGUGAUAUUUAUAAUUGAAAGCUACGAGAAUAGAUGUGUGGGUGAAGCCAUAGAACAUAUUUGCUUGAAAUUCUUGAGCAGGGAUCUUAUAUAAAGGGCCAGAAAUAAGAUGUGUGGUUCACAUAGAUAGUGAGCGUAACAUCUGUAUUAAACGUAGGAGAGAAGUUUAUAAAAGGGCAUUGGCAAUAAAUUCUUUGUUGCAGCUGUUUUCCAAGUAAUGUAAAUAUUUUUUCCUGUGAUUAUGUAUAGCCUUGGAAUGGCACCUUUUAACUAACCCAUAUGUGUUUGGUUUUCAAUGGUUUUUUUAUAUUCAAAUGUAUAUAUGGUGCUCACUUUAGGAUCAGCAGUGUUGACCAUUUAUGCUGCAUAGCUGUAUUAUAGCCUUAUAGUUGUGUGUGGUUGAUUGGCCCUCUGGGUAUUCAAAUGUCAGUCUGAGUGGUGUCUUACUCAUUUGUUCAUAAGUGGAUGAUUGUGCAUGUGUUGUAUGUCAUAGUAUGUCGUCACCUAAAAGGGAGGGAGCGAACAACCAUUACAUUAAGAUAAUAUUGGACCAAACUACUUACUUGCUCUAAACAGUUACUUGUACCCCUUAACCUGUCUUCAAAAGUUACAUAUAGUUACAGUAGUGUAUAAAUUAAAUAUUGUGGAAAAAGUUAGUCUUGUAUUUUUCUGUAUGUGUGUAUAUAUAUAAUUAUGUACUUCUGGCAAUUCUAUCUGUAUUAAAGAUGUGACAAUCUUGACACCGAUUUUCAGAAUAGCCAAGAGACUGAAUUUGAUUGAAGAUAUCCCUACCAAGUAAGAAUUGGUCUGUGUUAAGAGGGUACAAAAUUAUCAGCUGAUUUGGUCAGUUGCUUCCAAUGCUGGUUGAUUUUCCUCAUUGUGUAAACAUUGACAGGUAUGUGUCAAAUGGGAAAAAGUCCAAAUAAUAAAGUGACAUAUUGGUGUUCAGCAAUAUAAA